rnacentral:rRNA from 1 species
UACGAACUGUGCAAACGUUAUUCGGAAUCACUGGGCUUAAAGGGUGCGUAGGCGGUCGUUUAAGUAGGGUGUGAAAGCCCUCCGCUCAACGGAGGAAUGGCCUUGGAUACUGGCGGCCUGGAGGAAGGUAGGGGCGUGCGGAACUCUCGGUGGAGCGGUGAAAUGCGUAGAUAUCGGGAGGAACACCGGUGGCGAAGGCGCCACUCUGGGCCGGUACUGACGCUGAGGAGCGAAAGCGUGGGGAGCAAACAGG